CCGGUAGGCGUGAGCCCACAACUGAAACCAAACACAAGCCUUCAGCUUAAAAAUCACUCACACACACACACAUUAAAUCUGAACAACUGUUCUGACCGCUGUCGAGAGACAAGAAAUUGAGGAUGGCUUUGGUUGUGGAAGGACUUUAUUGCACAGCUGCUGGUUUCGGAUGUACGAGCCUGGCUUUAACCCCAACUGGUUUACUCAUAGUAGCAGCUGCAGCAGUGGUGAUAGUGGGAUUGUCCUUGUACUUUGCACAUAAGAACAAGAAAAAUAAGAACUGACUGAUGAGUUCAUUCCCCUGGAGUUGACUGCAAAAGAUCAAUGGAAUCGUAACUCCACAAUAAAAACAAAGAUGGCUGAUAAUCUGUGGUUUUGAAGUACAUUUUUGUGUUGACUCCCAUCCUACACCUUCUGUUGGAAAGUAACCUAUAGAUGUUUAUAGCACACAAUCUUAUGCUUUUUCAGCAUCCAAUAAAAUAUAUGCAAUUGAAGUAUACAAUUACUGAAGAGAACAAAAUAUAUCAAGUAGACACCUUAUGUUAUCUGAUGAGAUAUUUUACUAAUAAAUCCCAUCAGAUCAGGACGAAUAAGAGAUGUGAACACUUUGUCUAUUCUAUAGAUCUAAGCUGAUUUAUGUCAAGCUGAUUGAUGUGAACAGUCAUAUGGAUCCUUAUCCUUCCUAAAAAUAAGGUAAUAAUGGCUUGUGAUCUGCGAUGAACUGGCGACCUGUUCAGCGUGCACCCUGCCUUUCGCACAAUGUCAGCUGGGAUUGGCUCCAACCCCCGCGACCCUGUACGCAGGAUGAGCAGUAGAUAAUGGAUGGAUGGAUGGCUUGUGAUAAAGAAGGGAGCAGUUCUCCUUUUCUUAAAGCUUCCGUAAACAUCUGCAUCAUCAGGUGUAUAAGUUCAGCCAUGUAGCAUUUAAAGAACCCCUGGCAAUUUACCAGAAGCUAAUAUCUUUAUUAUAUUUUCCCACCCUCUCCUUAAAGCUUGGAAAAUGUUUUUUAGAUGUUAAAUAAAUUACAGUCAAAUUGACAUCUCAAUAUUUCAGUAGAUGCUCAUCAAAACUUGUGGUGUCAUAAGAAACUUUACCAUACACUAUAUACUAUAGUUCAAUACAAUGGUAUACCGUAGUUGUACCAUGGUACCUCAGAUAUAACCAUGAUACAUACCACAGUACCUUAGAUACAACCAUGGUACAUUCUGCAGUACCUCAGAGAUAACCAUGGUACAUUCUGCAGUACCUCAGAUUUUACCUUGGUUCCUCAAAUAUAACUAUGGGAUCAUGAUAAUUAUUCCCAUUGGUAUUGUACACUGUACCCACACAAGUAUAGUAACUGACUGAAGGGGGCGCAUGGCCCAUUGUGUUAGCUAACAAGUAGUUUUACUUUUGAUACUUUAAGUAUACACAAAAAAUCCUCCUAGUCAAAGAAUUAUACUUUAUUUUAUCACAUGUGCAUAUUAGUUUGCACCAUGGUAGGCCUACUGUCAAAAAACUACAGAACCUUACAUGUACUAUGGUACUGUCAAAGAAACCAUGGAACCAGUACCAUAGUAGUCUCAUAGUAUGAUUAUCAUAACACCACCAUGGUACUCAUACCAAAAUGGCUUACAGCUAAAAAAACAACUUCAGUGUUUCCCACAUAUAGACUUUACUUGGGCGGGCUGCCCAGGUACAUUUGGCAACCCAUUUUAGUAUUUUGCUGAGAAACACAGAGAGAGAUGUUUUCUGUUACAAAACACAGACACAGACCAAGCACGGACCAGGUAAAGUAACGGUGAACAGUGAACACACCAGUGCAGAUGUCAUUCUGAACCACUGAAAUAAGGUGGAGAGUAACAAUGAAUCUGAAAGAGUCUGCCUAAAGGGGUGUGGUUCAGCACACAUCAUCCGGUUGGGCAUGGACUGGCCUGAAGGAGGGGGCAGGGCUAAAAUGUAAUGAGAAAACUCUAGGUGUUAAAGCAUAGAUUUCAUUGCAUGUAAACAUUUGUUUUUGUGUCCUAAAAAAAUUAAUCUGAUUUGUGGGUGUGUCAUUUCUUAGAAUGUGUUUGAUUUUUGUGUGUGUGUGUGUGUGUGUGUGUGUGUGUGUGUGUGUGUGUGUGUCACUUCUGGAUGCUUCUGGAUAUAGACCAAAUAAACAAAUGUCAAAAGCUAGAGCAUCAAAGCUUUUUGACAAUUUAGGUUUAGGAAUUUAAGUGAAUACCACAGAGGGACUUUAAUGUGCAAACACAGAGUCAGUAGAUGAUGAAGAGGUUUCAUUAUUCUUGGUUUGGGCAAUGUUCACUCACUGCCUCCUUCUCACGGUCAAUGAUGGUCUCCUGCUCCUCAAAGUGCUUCAACUUGAUCUCCAGCUUCUUCAUCUGGGUCUGCACCAGCAGAGCCACCAGGGACUUGAUCUUCCUCUCUUCUACUGCCGCCAAGUGCUGCAAAUACAUGUGGCUAAGAUGGAAGAAGUUAGAAGAAAUGAGAGUAAGUGCAUGGGACAGUUCAGAAGGAAGGAAAUUGGAGGUAAAUGUAACGGGGUAGACCUGUAUCAGCCAAUUUUGAGUGCAGUGGUAGUGUGAGGGGUGAGCACUUAGAGCGAGUGUGCAUUUGGUGGUUGUGGUUUUGCACUUGGGUUAAUUGCAUGGGUAUGGACUAAUGGCAGACAGGUGUGCUUGGGCAUGACAACCAUCUGCAAACAAUUUAACCAGCCACCCACUGGGCUCAAGAGUCUUCUGUUUGUCUCCUGUGUGCAGGUACAGAGUGAUUUUGACUGUCUUCUUCCCUGGGGGGUAGCUUUUGUUAUGUGGGCUGGUGGUAGUGUCUGAUGUGUCUAAUGUUGUUCACAGUCUUCUGUUUGUUUCCUGUGUGCAGUGUGCGGGUGUGCUGAGGCUGCUGAUUCUUUGCAAGAGUGUGGUACACGGCUGGGUCGUGGUCUGGGGAGCUGCCAGUGUAGCGCCACCGCUACUUAGUAGAGUUACCAGAGGCCCAAGCAGUGAGGCUACAACCAACCAGCCUGUGACCAACAGCAGACCCGUUCCUGUUGUGUUUAGCUUCGCCCACGCAGGAAGACGAAGUUGAGCACACCCAGCCAUGACGAACUGCAGUUCCGUUUAACUAACAGUUUCCCCCAUUUGAACUCUCUUUUUAACUAUCUUAGCCUCAGUCUUGUUUUAACCCUUUGCAUGUCUAUUUUAUACAAAUAAAUUUGGAGGUUAUAUUUUGUA